rnacentral:lncRNA from 1 species
AAUGGCUUCUUUGAGUCUUUAUUUCCUUGGUGAGGCAGGGCCUCAGGGUGGGGUGGGCUGCCUGGCUGAGGCUCCCGUAGACCCACCAACCUAGGGGCACUUUUCUGGGCACCACAGGUAAGGCACUGCCUGGGGGCUGGAGGAGGCUGGAGGAGGAUGCCCAAGCUCCCCACACUCCUCACCCCAGACCGGGGAAGCUGGAUAUCCUCCGUGUUGUCCUCUCCCCAUAGCUGGUCCGAGGCUGUGGUUUACACGCAGGCACAGGUAGGCGAUUCUGAGCAUCAACCCAGAUGGAGGGGAGGGUGAGCCGUCAUGGGAGAACUGGCCCAAGACCAGCACCUGGCUGGUGUCGCCAGCCCCGGCAGCAUUGGUGGGUGAGGCAGGUCUGGCUGGAGUCUGGGUCUGCAGGCCUGGCCGGGGCAGGUUGUGGGGGACCAAGGAACCCUGGGUGUGAACCCCACUGUGGAGGCAGCAGGCACCUAGUGGUGCCGCUGGGACACCCGGCUCCAGGACUCCAGAUGUCACACAUGCGUGAGUCUUGGCGUCUACACCCCCCUCGGGGCCAGUGGGUGAGCAGUGGCCCGUGGUCCCUGCCAGAGCUCCCCCAGAGUGGACUUGGCUCCGCCGGACACAGUGCCCUGCUCUGAGCUGCCGCUGGCUGCUCCACGUCUGAGACCACGCGACGUUGCCUCAUGAACUGACGUGGACAGCAGCAGGGGAGACGCUGGGUGGUUCUGUGGCCAAGCACAGCCCGUGUCAGGAGCACAGGCCGUGCCCUUUCCCAGGGGGCACACUGGGCAUUUCUCAAUGGCCUUCACAGGAUGCAAAGGGGCACAGAGAGGCAGUGGGGAAGCUGGAGUUCUUGGGCUGGCAGGGAACGGUGGCAGCCUUCUUGGCCUUCAUGAAGGGCCUGGCUUGCUGGGCUAAGGUCACAGUGUUCUGAGGUCCCCACACGCACUCAGACUAGACCCUCCGUACACACCCAGGCUAGACCCUCCGUACACACCCAGGCUAGACCCUCCAUACUCACCCCGGCUAGAUCCUCCAUACACACCCUGGCUAGACCCUCCAUACUCACCCAGGCUAGAUCCUCCGUACACACCCAGGCUAGACCCUCCGUACACACCCAGGCUAGACCCUCCGUACACACCCAGGCUAGACCCUCCGUACACACCCAGACUAGAGGCUUGGGGCUGAGAAAAGCAGUCAUGCCUCUUCAGGAAUUACCAGCAGAGAAUGCCCAGCCCUCUUGAUAGUAGCAAUAAUUAAUAGGUUUAUCCCCAAAGGAGCGGAAGUGUGGAAUCCUCCCCGGCAAUAGGUCUUAGGGUAGGGGCUGGGGCAUCCUAGAGAAGGGCCCUAAAUCAGGCGCUCAGUGUCCGGAACGCAGGUCUAUCCCACCCACCAGCCGGCCCCCAGGCCUCCCUUCCUCAGUCCUUCCAGGAUAUCGUCAGGGAGGUUCUGGGAUCCCCAAGUGGUCCGAAUCCAGGCUCUAGGGAGUGUCCGUGGCAUAUAAAUUAGACUCUGCUGUGGCAAUAAAUAACAGGGGAUGAUGGGGGGCCUCGGGCACCAGGCCCAGGCCUGUCCUGCAGGCUCACACGAAGUUCUCUUCCUCUUCUGCCGACUCACCAUCUGGCGGCUCCUUAGGGGUGCCUGCAAGGGUCGAUAAGAGCAUUGAGGGCGCAGGGCAGGGGGUUCUCCGGCCCCCAGGACAGGCCUGUGCCCCCGCCCUGCGUCUGCACCUGCGCAGCUGCCCGCGUGGCGCACGCCGAUGGAGCGGCCCAGGAAGCAGGUGGCCUGGCGCAUGUGGCACGAGGAGAUGUAGGUGACGUUGUUGUUGCCGCAAAGCUCCUGGCCGGGGCUGGAGGGCACAGGGCAGGGCGCCACCCGACACACCACGCAGUGGGCGCUGCCCGUCUGGUCACGACGCACGACUGUGGCCGCGGGCACACCACGUGCUC